AUUGAACGCUGGCGGCAGGCCUAACACAUGCAAGUCGAGCGGAUGAAGGGAGCUUGCUCCUGGAUUCAGCGGCGGACGGGUGAGUAAUGCCUAGGAAUCUGCCUGGUAGUGGGAGAUAACGUCCGGAAACGGGCGCUAAUACCGCAUACGUCCUGAGGGAGAAAGGGGGGGAUAUUCGGACCUCACGCUAUCAGAUGAGCCUAGGUCGGAUUAGCUAGUGGGUGGGGUAACGGCCUACCAAGGCGACGAUCCGUAACUGGUCUGAGAGGAUGAUCAGUCACAUUGGAACUGAGAAACGGUCGAGACUCCUACGGGAGGCAGCAGUGGAGAAUAUUGGACAAUGGGCGAAAGCCUGAUCCAGCCAUGCCGCGGGUAUGAAGAAGGUCUUCGGAUUGGAAAGCACUUUAAGUUGGGAGGAAGGGCAGUAAGUUAAUACCUUGCUGUUUUGACGUUACCAACAGAAUAAGCACCGGCUAACUUCGUG
rnacentral:rRNA from 1 species